rnacentral:rRNA from 1 species
UACGUAGGUGGCAAGCGUUGUCCGGAAUUAUUGGGCGUAAAGCGCGCGCAGGCGGUCCUUUAAGUCUGAUGUGAAAGCCCACGGCUCAACCGUGGAGGGUCAUUGGAAGCUGGGGGACUUGAGUACAGAAGAGAAGAGUGGAAUUCCACGUGUAGCGGUGAAAUGCGUAGAGAUGUGGAGGAACACCAGUGGCGAAGGCGGGUCUCUGGGCAGUAACUGACGCUGAGGAGCGAAAGCGUGGGGGGCGAACAGG